UGGUGUUAUUGAGUUUGAGGUUGGGUGUUGUGUGGUUGCUGAGUAAUUUUGAGUGUAUGCAUGUUUGAGAUUAUUUUCUUUGAGGUGAGAUUUCGGUAGAGGUUGGAUUUAUUCUUUUUGAAGUUUGGUUUUUGUUUACAUGUGGAUGAGUUGUGUAAGUUGGUGAAGGUGUUUGUUUUGGGGAUGGUGUUGGUAACUUUGUGAGGUUGGUUUUUGUUGACUUUGUGGCGGGUAUUAUUUCGGGGACGAAAUAUUCCAAGUGGGGGAGAGUUGUAACACCCGUCCCAGGAUAUUUAGGGUUUCGAUUUAAUUUUGAGGUUUAGGGUUUAAUUUGUAUUUGUUGGAUUCUAUGAGGGGCUUUGGUGUGAUUUACAUGGAGAAUUGUUAUUGGUUUGGAGCAUAAGUUGAGAGGAGAGGUGACCAUAUGGGAUUUCUUCCUAAGUGACUAAAUAGUCAUCAGGAGGAUAUUUCCUCAUUCUGCCGACAUAGAGAGAGAGAGAGAGGGGGAGAGAAAGGGAGGAGGAGGUCUCGGCUAAGGGGAGGGAGGAAGGAGAGGUCCGUUUUCGACGAUCCAACUCGGUGACAAGUAACGAGCCGGUCUUUUAGGAGGUGCCGAAACCGUAAGUUUGGCAUACUCCAGUCGAAUGAAAGGUGAGUAUGUCUGAUAUGGUUCUUCUCAAUAAGAUAUUGCUAUGGUGGUAUGUAUAUAUCUUGCUAAUGGUGUUUUAGCUUUCAAUAUGAUUAUUGAUAUGUAAAUAAUGCAGUGGAGGUGAUUAUAUAUCAAUGAUAUCAUGCUAAUCGAGGUUUAGCUAUUGAUAUGGAUAUAUGUGAUGGAAAUUUGUCUACCAUGCUAUAUGUUGUUUUAGCUAAUGGUAUGCAUGCUUGUUGUAUGUUGAUUGUACCCGCGAAAGGAUUGUGGAGUGAGUCACACCAUAUCGUGGGCCGUGCCGUCUAAUUAACGGUGAAUGGGAGUGUGGUGUGCGGGACACAAUUCCUUGGGUACAUGGGAUGUGGCAGACGUGCCACUGUAUGUUGGUGUUUAUACAUGUGGUUAUACGAUUGAGUACUUAUGUUGAGUUUCGUGUGAUUUACAUUCAUGCCGUUAUUGUUAUGUGGUUGUUUAUUGAAUAAUAUUGCUAUGUUUUGGCAGAUGUGGUGGUUAUAACUAAUGUACUCAUAUGGGUAUUGCAGUUAUGUUGGUGGUGAAUAUUCUUAUUGAUAUUCUUUUGGGUAUUGUGACAUUUUAUUGAGCAUUUCUAUAUCUCACACACUCUGGCUUUCCUUUUUGGACUGCCAGGUAGCAGGUGGCUUAGAGUGGGUCCACUACUGGUCAACGCCUUGGAGAGUGCUGAGACUCGUGUUGGGUGAUGUCCUUGGUUAGAUUGUUGUGUAGCUGAUUCGUCUAGAAGUUAACUACAUGUUUUGUAAUUAAUUGGAGAGAGGGAUAUUUUUUAUAACUUGUGAGUUGAGGUUUUGGCGUUGACUUGGUUGUAUUUUAAGUGAGAAGUCUUCCGCUAA